rnacentral:lncRNA from 1 species
CUGAUCCUCGACCUGUUUCUUCUCUGCCUCUGUUAAGGCUCUACCUUCUGCUGCUGUAGGUGCCUCAUUUUCCACUAUGAUCCAAUAUUCCUUUGAUCGCAGAAAGCUUUUCAUAAGCAUUGCCCAUUAGUCAUAGUGUCCAUCAAAUUUUGGAACAACAGGCUGCACAAAGGAACUUUUUGUUGCCAUCUUCAAUCACCUAAAGUAUCAUGUAGAGAGUUGCUGCUUCAAAUCAAUCAAGUCUCAUGAGGAAGCUUUGAUACCA